rnacentral:rRNA from 1 species
AUUGAACGCUGGCGGCAGGCUUAACACAUGCAAGUCGAGCGGAGACUUCGGUCUUAGCGGCGAACGGGUGAGUAAUACCUAGGAAUCUGCCUAUUAGUGGGGGAUAACGGCUCGAAAGGGUCGCUAAUACCGCAUACGUCCUACGGGAGAAAGUGGGGGACUCUUCGGACCUCACGCUAAUAGAUGAGCCUAGGCCGGAUUAGCUAGUUGGUAGGGUAAGGCCUACCAAGGCGACGAUCUGUAGCUGGUCUGAGAGGAUGGCCCAGCCACACUGGAACUGAGACACGGUCCAGACUCCUACGGGAGGCAGCAGUGGGGAACUAUUGGACAAUGGGGGCAACCUGAUCCAGCCA